GACGAACGCUGGCGGCGUGCCUAACACAUGCAAGUCGAGCGAAUGAAGUUCCUUCGGGAACGGAUUUAGCGGCGGACGGGUGAGUAACACGUGGGCAACCUGCCUCAUAGAGGGGAAUAGCCUUCCGAAAGGGAGAUUAAUACCGCAUAAGAUUGUAGUACCGCAUGGUACAGCAAUUAAAGGAGCAAUCCGCUAUGAGAUGGGCCCGCGGCGCAUUAGCUAGUUGGUGAGGUAACGGCUCACCAAGGCGACGAUGCGUAGCCGACCUGAGAGGGUGAUCGGCCACAUUGGGACUGAGACACGGCCCAGACUCCUACGGGAGGCAGCAGUGGGGAAUAUUGCACAAUGGGGGAAACCCUGAUGCAGCAACGCCGCGUGAGUGAUGACGGCCUCGGUUGUAAGACUCUGUCUUCUACGGACGGAUAAUAGACGGUACCGUUCGAGGAAGGGAAGGACCACCGGCGUAACUACGUAGCCGACGCAGCCGCGGUAACUACUAGUCUACG
rnacentral:rRNA from 1 species